rnacentral:rRNA from 1 species
UUGGGCGUAAGAGCUCGUAGGCGGUUUGUCGCGUCUGCUGUGAAAUCCCGAGGCUAAAACGGGGCUGCAGUGGGUACGGGCAGACUAGAGUGCGGUAGGUGAGAUUGGAAUUCCUGGUGUAGCGGUGGAAUGCGCAGAUAUCAGGAGGAACACCGAUGGCGAAGGCAGAUCUCUGGGCCGUUACUGACGCUGAGGAGCGAAAGGGUGGGGAGCAAACAGGCUUAGAUACCCUGGUAGUCCACCCCGUAAACGUUGGGAACUAGUUGUGGGGUCCAUUCCACGGAUUCCGUGACGCAGCUAACGCAUUAAGUUCCCCGCCUGGGGAGUACGGCCGCAAGGCUAAAACUCAAAGGAAUUGACGGGGACCCGCACAAGCGGCGGAGCAUGCGGAUUAAUUCGAUGCAACGCGAAGAACCUUACCAAGGCUUGACAUAUACGAGAACGGGCCAGAAAUGGUCAACUCUUUGGACACUCGUAAACAGGUGGUGCAUGGUUGUCGUCAGCUCGUGUCGUGAGAUGUUGGGUUAAGUCCCGCAACGAGCGCAACCCUCGUUCUAUGUUGCCAGCACGUAAUGGUGGGAACUCAUGGGAUACUGCCGGCGCCAACUCGGAGGAAGGUGGGGAUGACGUCAAAUCAUCAUGCCCCUUAUGUCUUGGGCUUCACGCAUGCUACAAAUGGCCGGUACAAAGGGGCUGCAAUACCGCGAGGUGUAGCGAAUCCCAAAAAGUCGGUCCCAGUUCGGAUUGAGGUCUGCAACUCGACCUCAUGAAGUCGGAGUCGCUAGUAAUCGCAGAUCAGCAACGCUGCGGUGAAUACGUUCCCGGGCUUGUACACACCGCCCGUCAAGUCAUGAAAGUCGGUACACCUGAAGCGGUGGCCACCCUUGUGGAGGGAGCCGUCAAGGUGGGAUCGGUAAUAGGACUAAG